GUGAGUGAGAAGUGAGAAUCUUUGGCUCUGGUGAUGAAGUGUGAGAAGUGAGUGAGAAGUGACAAUCUUUGGCUCUGGUGAUGAGGUGUGAGAAGUGAGUGAGAAGCGACAAUCUUUGGCUCUGGUGAUGAAGUGUGAGAAGUGAGUGAGAAGUGAGAAUCUUUGGCUCUGGUGAUGAAGUGUAAGAAGUGAGUGAGAAGUGACAAUCUUUGGCUCUGGUGAUGAAGUGUGAGAAGUGAGUGAGAAGCGACAAUCUUUGGCUCUGGUGAUGAAGUGUGAGAAGUGAGUGAGAAGUGAGAAUCUUUGGCUCUGGUGAUGAGGUGUGAGAAGUGAGUGAGAAGUGACAAUCUUUGGCUCUGGUGAUGAGGUGUAAGAAGUGAGUGAGAAGCGACAAUCUUUGGCUCUGGUGAUGAAGUGUAAGAAGUGAGUGAGAAGUGAGAAUCUUUGGCUCUGGUGAUGAGGUGUAAGAAGUGAGUGAGAAGUGAGAAUCUUUGGCUCUGGUGAUGAGGUGUAAGAAGUGAGUGAGAAGCGACAAUCUUUGGCUCUGGUGAUGAGGUGUGAGAAGUGAGUGAGAGGUGAGAAUCUUUGGCUCUGGUGAUGAAGUGUGAGAAGUGAGUGAGAAGCGACAAUCUUUGGCUCUGGUGAUGAAGUGUGAGA